AAUAGAUACCCGGGUAGUCCACGCCGUAAACGAUGUCUACUAGCUGUUCGUGGUCUUGUACUGUGAGUAGCGCAGCUAACGCAUUAAGUAGACCGCCUAGGGAGUACGGUCGCAAGAUUAAAACUCAAAUGAAUUGACGGGGGCCCGCACAAGCGGUGGAGCAUGUGGUUUAAUUCGACGCAACGCGAAGAACCUUACCUACUCUUGACAUCUACAGAAGUUGGCAGAGAUGCCGAUGUGCCUUCGGGAACUGUAAGACAGGUGCUGCAUGGCUGUCGUCAGCUCGUGUUGUGAAAUGUUGGGUUAAGUCCCGCAACGAGCGCAACCCUUAUCCUUAGUUGCCAGCGAUUCGGUCGGGAACUCUAGGGAGACUGCCGGUGAUAAACCGGAGGAAGGUGGGGACGACGUCAAGUCAUCAUGGCCCUUACGAGUAGGGCUACACACGUGCUACAAUGGUAUGUACAGAGGGGAGGCGAAGCCGCGAGGCGGAGCGGAUCUCUUAAAGCAUAUCGUAGUCCGGAUCGC
rnacentral:rRNA from 1 species